rnacentral:rRNA from 1 species
GUGGGGAAUCUUGCGCAAUGGGCGAAAGCCUGACGCAGCCAUGCCGCGUGAAUGAUGAAGGUCUUAGGAUUGUAAAAUUCUUUCACCGGGGACGAUAAUGACGGUACCCGGAGAAGAAGCCCCGGCUAACUUCGUGCCAGCAGCCGCGGUAAUACGAAGGGGGCUAGCGUUGCUCGGAAUUACUGGGCGUACAGGGCGCGUAGGCGGACAGUUUAGUCAGAGGUGAAAGCCCAGGGCUCAACCUUGGAAUUGCCUUUGAUACUGGCUGUCUUGAGUACGGGAGAGGUGAGUGGAACUCCGAGUGUAGAGGUGAAAUUCGUAGAUAUUCGGAAGAACACCAGUGGCGAAGGCGACUCACUGGCCCGUUACUGACGCUGAGGCGCGAAAGCGUGGGGAGCAAACAGGAUUAGAAACCCGGGUAGACC